rnacentral:rRNA from 1 species
UGGGGAAUCUUCCGCAAUGGACGAAAGUCUGACGGAGCAACGCCGCGUGCAUGAUGAAGGUUUUCGGAUUGUAAAGUACUGUCAUUGGGGAAGAACGGUUUUCUGAAAGAUUGAGAAGACAUGACGGUACCCAAGGAGGAAGCCCCGGCUAACUACGUGCCAGCAGCCGCGGUAAUACGUAGGGGGCAAGCGUUGUCCGGAAUUAUUGGCGUAAAGGGCGCGUAGGCGGGCCUUUAAGUCCGGUGUGAAAGAUCAGGGCUCAACCCUGAGAGUGCAUCGGAAACUGGAGGCCUUGAGGACAGGGAGAGGAAAGUGGAAUUCCACGUGUAGCGGUGAAAUGCGUAGAUAUGUGGAGGAACACCAGUGGCGAAAGGCGACUUUCUGGACUGUAACUGACGCUGAGGCGCGAAAGCGUGGGGAGCAAACAGGAUUAGAUACCCUGGUAGUCCACGCCGUAAACGAUGAGUGCUAGGUGUAGAGGGUAUCGACCCCCUUCUGUGCCGCAGUUAACACAAUAAGCACUCCGCCUGGGGAGUACGCCGCAAGGUUGAAACUCAAAUGAAUUGACGGGGUCAUAGCUGUUUCCU